rnacentral:rRNA from 1 species
UACGGAGGGUGCAAGCGUUAUCCGGAUUUACUGGGUUUAAAGGGUGCGCAGGCGGAUAUGUAAGUCAGUGGUGAAAUCUCUGGGCUUAACCCGGAAAUUGCCAUUGAUACUAUAUAUCUUGAAUGUUGUGGAGGUAAGCGGAAUAUGUCAUGUAGCGGUGAAAUGCUUAGAUAUGACAUAGAACACCUAUUGCGAAGGCAGCUUACUACGCAGAUAUUGACGCUCAUGCACGAAAGCGUGGGGAGCAAACAGG